AGAAUCAACGCUGGCGGCGUGCCUCAGACAUGCAAGUCGAACGCGAAAGUCCCCUUCGGGGGACAAGUAGAGUGGCGCACGGGUGAGUAACACGUAGGUAAUCUACCUUUGGAUGGGGAAUAACAACCGGAAACGGUUGCUAAUACCGCAUAAUGCAGCGGCACCUAAUGGUGACAGUUGUUAAAGCGGGGGAUCGAAAGACCUCGCGUCUGAAGAGGAGCCUGCGGCGGAUUAGCUAGUUGGUAAGGUAAUGGCUUACCAGGGCUACGAUCC
rnacentral:rRNA from 1 species